GUGCUCACUUCAACAGCACAUAUACCAAAAUUGGGAUGAUGCUAAAAAGAUCACCAUGGCCCCUGCGCAAAGAUGGCACACAAAUUCUUGAAGCGUCCUUAUUUUGU